rnacentral:lncRNA from 1 species
UUUUUUGCAGAGAAACUGUUAAAUGACAACAAAACAGAGAUAUUCGUCUCAGGGAUGUAGAGGCAGCUCAAGCCAAAAAAGCGUCGGAGCCGAGUGUAGAUUGUGGUUCUCCAACUCCUGCAGAAGGCACAUAUGUUGUCUACAGCUCAACAGGUCUUCAUGCCAGUGCCAACUACAGAUGCAAGAAGGGUUUUCUUGACAGACACGCUGGUGAACAGAUGAUGAGCUUGUGUCAGAAGGAUGGGAACUGGACCAUGGUCAACGUGAAGUGCGUCAACAGGUCUGUCAGCGAUUGGAUGCUCAGACGCCACACGGUCACGGCAAUAGGGAAGACGCGAUGUUCUCCAUCCCCGGAUUUAACACACUCCAAACUGUAACAGGAUCUGCCAACUACUGCCGUGACCCAGAUGGUACAGGGUUUUUAUGGUGUUACACAACGGACCGGAAUUCACGCUGAGAAGAGUGUGAUGUCCAAAGUGUAACCCGCAGUUUUGAGCGGAUUACUAGUACAGUGUUGUGGGUUGGGAGCAAUUCGUGAUUUUGCAACAUUAAAAUCGGUCAGUGUGAAACAAA